rnacentral:rRNA from 1 species
GACGAACGCUGGCGGCGUGCUUAACACAUGCAAGUCGAACGGAAAGGCCCUGCUUUUGUGGGGUGCUCGAGUGGCGAACGGGUGAGUAACACGUGAGUAACCUGCCCUUGACUUUGGGAUAACUUCAGGAAACUGGGGCUAAUACCGGAUAGGAGCUCCUGCUGCAUGGUGGGGGUUGGAAAGUUUCGGCGGUUGGGGAUGGACUCGCGGCUUAUCAGCUUGUUGGUGGGGUAGUGGCUUACCAAGGCUUUGACGGGUAGCCGGCCUGAGAGGGUGACCGGCCACAUUGGGACUGAGAGACGGCCCAGACUCCUACGGGAGGCAGCAGUGGGGAAUAUUGCACAAUGGGCGGAAGCCUGAUGCAGCAACGCCGCGUGCGGGACGACGGCCUUCGGGUUGUAAACCGCUUUCGCCUGUGACGAAGCGUGAGUGACGGUAAUGGGUAAAGAAGCACCGGCUAACUACGUG